rnacentral:lncRNA from 1 species
UGUGUUAUCAUUUGCUAAAGAUAUGACAAUGUGCUCUUUGCUUGGGUUUGCAGCUAGGAGACCUAGGUGUGUUUUCCCACUUCCCCCAGGAACGCAGCCAGAAAAAGCAAUGACAUCCAGGAGCCAUCUGGGAAUGCUUCCCAGACCUGCUCUAAAUUGGGGCACAGAGCCAGCUGCACACUCCUGAGCUUUGGAGUUCACCUGGAUUAGACUCACUGCAGAGGGGUUUAUCAUCAAGGAUGAUUUAUCUGGGGUCCCAGCUCUCCAGCUUUUAAGGCAGAUGUCAACGGAACAUAACAGGAUGUCAGCCUCCUAGGACAUACAGCAGGGUAGAGAAUAGAGGGCUAGCAGAAACCACUCCACAGAAGAGCCACGCGUUAUUACGAUUUUAGGCUCCUGGGCUUGGAUACUUUUUUUUUAAGGUCUCACACUAUGAAAAGCCAAUUAUGCCUGUUAUAGAUGGCCAAAGAGAAGAAAUCAAUUGAAGAACAACUCACACUCCGUGUUACAAGAAUAAAAUGCAUUAUUGGUCCUCAGUUUUUUGCCAAAUCAAGAAAUCCAGAAGUAAUUCAAAGUCAGGGCAUCAUCAUCAUCAUCAUUAAAAAUAUAAAUGUUCUCUACUUUUGCCAGGACUAAGCAAUUAACUAAAUUGAAUGUGUAUAUUUCCUCCCAUUGUCCUCACCACAACCCUAUAAUGUUAUUGCC